GACACUCUUAUUAUGUACGUUAAAACAAUGUAUCUGAAGGGCAGCCUUUGCUUACAGGCGGAAAGGCAUUUAAUUGCUCUAGUAUAAUCUACUAAACAUGGAACCAACGGAUCCAAAAACAAGAAGAAAAACAGAGAACCAGAAGACCUGUAACCUACAUGAGCCUAGUCAGUUAUCAUUAGAUCGUUUGGGAGUUGUCCGAAAAUGUCUGGGCAGCCUUCCCAGCUGCUCUUUUCUCUGGAUUCCCAGUAACCACCAAGGUAGCGGUAUGUGUCGCUACCUUUAUCCUUCGCAAACCACCGGGGUUUCCACCCACUCUCCUGCAUCUUUCGUGCCUGCAGUACAGUUGGGUACCAUAUCAUGUCUCUAUCAUGAUUCAUGAAGAACUUUUCAAGCUUAUUAUCAUAUGAAUAAUCCAAAUGAGUCGAAGUGAUUGUUAUUUUCAAAUCUGUAGAAGUCCAGUAUGGUGUAUCGGAGUUAUACCACUCCAAAUUAUUGAAUGAUCAAACUGAGCAUAUUAAAAACAAAAUUAUUGAAGUGAAUAAAUCAAACUUAUCAAGUCACGUUAUACUACGGUUGUUUGUGCUUAGUUCAUGUCUUCUGAUUUUUCUUCACCAAGAAUACAACACAUAAACAGCUGUAAGCCUGUGAUGCUCAUUUUACAGAUAGUUGGCACAUCAGAAUGGAGUCCAAUGUGGUGCAUCAGAAUACAAUUGUUCCACUAAAAAAAAAAGGUUCACUACAGAAUUAUUGAAUACAGAACAAACUUAUUAAAUACUCCCUCCGUAUCAAAAUAUAAGACACUAUGAUAGUGUCAAAAAACAUCUUAUAUUUUGAUAGAGGGAAUAAAAAAUACUGGAGUGAGUAAACCAAACUUUUUCAAUUCAUGGUAGCAUAAGUGAACCAGCAUCUGGCCUGCUGUUGCCAAGGGAAUACUUUGAAUUUAUUGUAGAGUAUGAAACAGGUGGGCAAAACCCAACCAGGACCUAACAGCCCAGAGUUCUGUGCACAACAUGACGUAUAGGUUUAUUUCGAUCCCACUAGGUAACUGUAUGUAAGUUUAUAUUCACAGCCAUAUGAAUCCAGCAUACUGGUAAUCUCAUUCAGACCUCGCAACGCCAGGCCAUGGUUCAUUUUAAUAGAUAUUGUAUUGCGGUUACAAGCAUGUGACACAUAAGGCCAUGGUUCAUUAUAGUAGAUAUUGUAUUGUGCUUACAAGCAUGUGAAUCGACCAAAGGUGGUAUGUAAUGCAGCCAAUCCAAAAGUUUGUUCGAGAUAAAUCAAAUGUAAGCAAGGCAUGAGUUAAUGAUCAUAAGGGAUGUGAAGGGUUAGGUUGACUAACCUGCCGUUGUCUCUGCUCAAGCCUCAACUUCUCAGCAUUUGCUCUUUCAUAUUCACCAUUCUCUAGGCACCUCUGGUCCGGUCGCAAUCUUGAGUCUGUUGGUGGAAGUUUUUCCUGCAUAUAGGUUGGGUUUAUUCAAUAAUCGAUCAUUAGUGUGAGUCCACACAUAAAUCAGUACGAUGUUAAAGUGAAGCUUGCUGCGAAGCUAACACCCUCACCUUCAAUCCAGGGGUAAGUUCAUUUAAUGUGAUCGCAAAGCUAGUGAAAUUGUAUCGAGUGGGAAACUUUGGUGGUUUACUCCUUUUCCACAACAAAUGGGCCUCUGAAAAAUUCUCAGAUCCUUUGCCUUUUCCAAAGCAGUCACCCAUCACGUAGUGCAUACUUUCAUCCCAUUUACCAAAGAGUGUAGCAACAGUUCGACCACUUCGGUCCUGAAUAACACCUUGGACCUGCACAUACACCAGUGCAACUAUGCUAAGUUAGACUAAGAUGUUUGCACUAUCGGAAAGUUAAGGUACUCACACAAAUAAAGAGAGAAAAUAUACAUAGUCUGGAGAAUGAAUAAAGAAAUUCAAGACGACCUAUAACUGGUCUUCUAAAAAGCCGUGUGAUAAGAGUUCUUUUUUGGCUGAAGCAAUUAAUUUGUCAUGUUAACAUUAUUAAUUCUCCACCUGAUGGAUGUGUGUGCAUUGUUUAGUCAGAAAACAUAUUGUUCAGCCGAUGAACCUUGUUCUGAAGCAACAGAACAAUAGUUCAACGAAAGCAAAUACCUACAUGAGGAAAGUAAUCAAACAUUGAAGGCUUCAUGAGAAGGGGGGUACUGGGGGAGAAAUAUAGACAGACUUUAGGUUACUUCUAGAAGUUCAUUCAUGCUUGAACCAUGGACACAACCUCCCCUAUUUCAGGGAUGCCAUCUUAAAUAGAUGGAAAAAAAAUUCUGACAGAUUAAAUUACGAACAAGGAAAAACAAACAACCAAAUGAUCAAUGGAUGGUAAUGCGCUUCUGUAUCCUUGAUAUAAGUCACACCUCUGAGGCUCCACAGCUCAACAAAGCUAACAGCAGUUCUGCGGGAGUAUUCUUCCUUCAGUUGGUGUUUGGCAGGUCAAAUUAAGGAUGGAAAUGGCAAGGGGAAAUGAAGUGUCUACAUUUGGCUGGUAGGAUGGAACAUUUCUGGAUUGGGAGUCAAUGAGCUUUAUGCUUUCAAUUCUCACUGUUUUAUUCAGGUGGUACAAGUAACAUUUCAGCCUAUUUCUAGAUAAAAGCCCACCCUCUGUAUGAGGCUUCACUGCCCAAAAGGCUGAAGUUGGAAUAUGAUCAAACUAUUCAGAGCACUAUAGGGCCAAAAUGGUCCUUUGAAUUCAAUAGUUGAUUUCGGAGCACUAUAGGGUCAAAAUGGUCCUUUGAAUUCAGUAGUUGAUUUCUGAGCCAAAAUACUAUUUAUUUUAUUUGUGCGCAAUAUUGCCUUUUUUUUCAAAAUAAUAGCAUAAGGCUCAAGACUUGUAUCAUUUUCAAGUUAGAUUCUAAAAUUCCUGGGUGCCAAAACUUUGAGAAACAUCACAUUAAACACCAACUAUUUUUCAAAGGAAAUCGAUACACAUUGUUAAAAGGUGAACCCAUUAUGCUUUCAAAUGAAUAUAUAUAAACUGCUAAAAAUAUGUCUUGCCAAAAGGCACAGAUGCAUCACUUGCUUUAACUAAUAUGCAUGGAAAAGCAUCAUCUUAGUGACAAACAAACUGCAAAGUUAGGAAAUAAAAGGAGAAAUCAGAAGAACAAGCAUACAAAAUACAUCUAGUAUACAGGCAAUUUAUUAAAUACCUGAUGAGGGUUGCGAUCAAUAAUUGACUGCUCCUUGAACUUCAGCUUACAUGAAUAUUCGCGAUUACCUUGAAUGCGCAUAGUACCAUAGUGAUCACAGUACAGUUUACCCAAUAUGAGAUUGUAAAUGGAAGUGGUCACCUGUGAUAGCAUAUUUUCAGUUAAUCAUUUCACAGAGUCAAUCAUUUCACAGAGUUAACCAUUUCUUGAUAACUAGGUAAUAAUACCUUGCUCCACUGGAAAACUUCACCAUCAUCAAACUCCAGUGUUAACACACCAACAGGAUCAAGUUGAAUGGAGCGACCCCAGAACUUGCUCUUUAGGUUGCUAUCUGCCCAAAACCUCCAGCCAUUUCCCUCACAGUGGCAUGCAACAACCAUUGGAUGAUGACUAACCUGGCAAGUGGUAUUGAAUAUUUUUAUAUAAACCAACAUGCAGAAGCAAAUAAACUAAACUUCAAGAAAAUCUGUAGUGGCCUCAAAUAUCUGUUAGUCUACAAAAGAAAGGCUAUUUGAUGAUUCAACAGGUACAGAGUAGAAAAUCCGAAGUAACGACUACAUGGGGCACUGCAGCAGUAUUGCAGCGGGCUGUUCUGAAAGCAGUAUUCAAACUAGUUCAUGGAGAAGUUUAAGGUGUUACGUUACAUAAACUCACUAUCAGAAUGUAAGAAAUAAGUUAGGAGAAUGAACAGUGGACUAUGCUAACCAACAGUAAGAACCUGUUCUUCAUAUUACUGGAUUUCUAAAGGUUCAUAAAAAUACCUUUUCUGAGAAAAAACGAAGACCUUUAUCUGGAUAAUCUGCUUCAUAGGUCUCCCCAAGAAGAGGGUUGAAGGGCUUACAACUCCUUCCAUCCGUAGAGGCAUAACCAGAAACAGCAAAUGCUGCAACGCUUAGAAUCCUCAUCAGACUAUCCCCCUGAGUAUUCAACAUAGAGAUGUAAGAUGCAUAAAUGUGGUUCAUCUCAUGAUAGAAAUAAGCAAAUAAACAUGUCCAAUCACAAGUUAGUUAUUGCCACUACUACAGAUAACAUGCACACAGAAAAGUUCUGACAUCUUUGCAAAGAAACAAAAUGGUAGAGAACAGGUUAAACAUAAUGACACCAAGAAGUGUUAGAGGCGGAUUUAGAAUGCACUCGAAUGAGUUUAGAGUAAAACGGAAGACAUUGCAUAAAGGUGUAAUAUGUAGGACACAAACAGGAGUAAUCACAUAAGUACAUUGAUAUCCUCUUUGGUACAAACCAAAACUAAGAUUGGAUAUAUACUACAACUGCAAAGCCGGAGAUAACAAGAACAACCUGAAGAGGAGUAGAGGACACGGUGCAAAAUCGAACAAAACCACCUCUAAGCUACUUAUGUUUCAGGUUAAACUACUUAAGUUCUACUCCCUCCGUUCAAAAAUAGAUGACUCAGCUUUGUACUAACUUUAGUACAAAGUUGGGUCAUCUAUUUUGGAACGGAGGGAGUAGUAUGAAAGGGAAAGUCACGCACUUCCCGUCACAUGCUGAGAAUAAUGAGGAAGAAGACAUACCCUUUUGCCCCAUUCAUAUGCACGAUCAAUAAGGUAGGAAUACUCAAGAUCCUCGAAACAUUUUUGUAAUGAUGAAAGAGGUUCAUUGAAGUAAACAGGCAGACAGACUUUGGUAAGAUCCUUUCCUAUGUUGUCCUUGAUCAUUGACCACAAACUAACACCCUUCUCUUUCUCAACUGGAUCUGGUAGCUUCUUACGCCUUCUCACAUACGGAUAAUUAAUUCCAACAGACUUCAUAGAAGGAUCAAUUCCAUCCAUCGGGUAGUCGUCCUCAUCAUCUGAACCAGCUUCAGAUCUUUGGAAAUCAGAUCCACUGCUUUUAAAAGAACUAGAUGAAAGGAAAUCAGUUGUAUCAAAAUAUAUGUUCUCUUCAUCGUCAGUCUCCUCUUCAGCAGGAUCUUGUGGUUCAUUGUAAUCAUCAGACUCGCUACCACUUCCUUCUGAAAAAAGAGGAAUGGUAAUUUAAGUUGUCGACAAAAGUAAAUCAAAUAUUGAAUCGACAUUCAUGAUAUAAUCCAAAGAGAGUUUGCAAGGAACACCGAGGACUCCAUAAAAGAGAAAUCCAAUAUGUGCAUUCAAGACCUCGGAAAGUUGGUAUCUAAGAACAGCAAAUGAAGAAAUCAUGAAUGGAAAGGGAGAGAGGGAGAAGAUCUAGACUGAUCUCCAAAACUGUUGCUAACGGAACUACAAGUUACUAAUUUACAACUAAAAAAGUGGUUAUCACGUAUCAAACAGUUAUCAAACGGUCCAUGCUGAUUGAAUGGUCAACCUAUCCACCCCUCGUCCCUCGAACCAAAAGCAUAGAUGGCUAUCUCUAACCAUUUGGGAUACCCAUAGCCACUCAAAGCUAUCCCGUGAACCAAAGACAGCCCUAGUAAAUAUGAUGUCCAUCCGCUCAUGCAUGUAUAUAGUUUGCUUACACUUCGGCUAACCAAUCAGCAAUGCUCAUAUUGAACCAAACCACCACAGCUUUGUCUGACAUUCUAGAGUUACAGCUAUUUUAGAUGGUAUAUGUGUGUGGAGUUAUUCACCAGCGUAAGUCAAAAAUUUCCUUCAUAAAAGCAGGGAUGAAUCAUAAUGGCCGAUAAUUUUACCAACAAAUUAUCAGAAGAUAGUUCAGAACGCACGUAUAUCAAUAGCAUGUGUAGCAGUAAGAUUUACACUAACUAAAUUUGUCAUACCACUAAGCUUCUCAUUCCUUGGUCUGGAAGCAGAUCCAUACUCUUUCGACUGUCUUUGGCUCUCAUCAACGAGGGUAUUCUCCAAAUCGACCUUUUCUGUCUACAGAAAGGCAACAAAACAGAAUACAUUGCCAAAUGAGAACAUCGAUACUAAAAUUAAUUAGGAAACAUCAGAAUAGAUAAAAUUGCAAUCAGGAACAAUGUAUGAUGAGAACAUCGAUAAUAUGAAAUUCAUUGACAUAUCUAAAAUUACGAAGGGAAACAUCAGAAAUACAGAAUACAUAAUCUUACAAAUUGAUGCGCUGGAAGAGUGUCAAGGGGAAGAAAGCUUAGAAUGUCUGAUCUGCCAAAUGGCUAAAAUGUUUUACAUGUAACACAAACAAAGGAGGACAAUAGAUAAUCAGAGCUAGCUAUAAUCCAUUCUUUCUGCAGCGACAACAACAACAAUGGAUUGUUUUUAUCGCAUACGUCCUUGAUUUUCUAACCAGCCUGACUGACUCCCUACUCAUGUCCACUGUAGGAGAGGUAUCUCAUGUUCAUCAUUGUCUGACAUAUGAUUUUUAACAUGUACUUGGGGUCUAACAUGGGAAGGAGCCAGAGGGAGUCGCACAAUGAAAGUUGAUCUUGCUAAAUCACAAUAAAAUAAAUACAUGCAGAAAUGCACAUAUGGGUAGCAGAGUACAUCUAAUGACAGCAACAAGCCAUCUAGAAAACUUUAAUACAUUUAAUAUUGAGUAAAAUUGCACAUGUUCUCGACCUAAUUUAACCCAAGUUGGAAAAAACAGUAAGGUUUGGGUAUCUUUGCACAUAAUACCAUUUCACAUUGCAGCAGGUCUCAACCCAACCAGACCAGAACCUACUGUUUUCGUCUAUUAAGAGGUGUGCAACAUUUACAUUGUGUUAGGUGCAAAGAAAACUAGACACUGGUGAUUGGCACGGUUAUGAUUGAAAUUAGGUGGCAGAAAGGGCAAUUUACUAUUCAUUAUAAUAUAUUUCCCACCAAUACCUGACAAGGUGAAUCGAGAAUAAUACCCAACAGAAAAGAAAAAAUAUUACUCACUGAAUUCUAAACCAAUGCAGCACCAAUUCUAUUAAAACUGUUCUGACUACAGCAUUAUUUCCGCCUGUUCUCCAUUCCCAUCUACCUUUGCUUCUCACUGAUUCCUCCAAAAACAUGUGAGCUAGGGGGCACUCCCGUGUGUGCUUGCACAUGGUAUGUGUAAUUGUGUAUGCUUCAACACGACAUAACCUUAAAGGAAUAUAUAAGGUGGAAACCGAAAUAAAGUGCCAAAGCAUGUUCUAGUUUUCAAAAUUCUCAGGAUGGACACAUUUGAAAUACACAAAAAUGGGUAAACAUGCAUGAAUAAUGGUUUGUCUGCAGAAUGUCCCUUCACCAACAUCUACAGGUUUCUUCGCAAUUUACCAAAACCUCAGCACAUAGUUCCCACCUUCCAUGAACUUAACCUCAAUUUAGGUUUCCACCUGAUACAGAUCUACUAAACAGACUGCAGCAUCUUACAAACUCAAUAAAACAGCAGUGGCAGAAGAUUUCAAAGAAAUGCAAGUACUAACUCAAUAAAACAACAGUGGCAGAAAGCUCAAAGAAAUGUAAGUACAGCACGACCCAUGGUGACAGCUAGUAUUCAAAAUCGGUUUCGAUGUACACUCAUGUCAAUCGUGUACGCAGAACGGCAAAAUUCCUCCGUGCGUCAAUGUACGUCAGUAGCUCUGUACUUGUUUCUUCAUUAAUUAAACCAUGUAGAGAAUGGCACAAUAUCACACCAUGCAGUGGACACCAAAAUUUCCUACUCCCAUGCACGAUCAAGUUCUGUUCGAAGCAGGGUCAGAUAGAUAUGAAUACCUCUAGGUGGCGGAGCGUGUCAAGGAGUAGCGCCUGCUUCUGCUUGAGAAGCACAAGCUGCUUGUGCAGCGCCUCGAACUCCUCCCGCACGAUCCUCUCGCUGUCAGCAAUGGCAGCAUCGCUGACCCCUUCCUGCUGCAGGCGCUUCUUCAGGCGCUCGGUGGAGACCGCCGCGGCCGCCGCAGUGUCCCCCGGCCCGACCAUCUCGCUGGUGGACAUCCUCGGGAACAUCUCCUUGGUGGCACGCAGCGCCUCGAGCCACGCGGCCCUGUCCUCCCUCGUCUCGGCCCGCAGGUGCAGCCUCUUGGUCCCCGAGAAGAUGGAGAACCUCCUGUCGUCCGAUCUGCUCUCUCUGACGGUCGACACCUGCACGUCAACCACCCGUUUCAGCGUCAGAGACAGAGGGAAAUGGAUCUGCGGAUCAGAGGAGCGAAUCGAAGCAUCGAGCGGGCGACUGACCUUGAGGUGGAUUUCGCCGAGGGGCUUGCGGGGCGUCUGGUGGUGGCCGUGGCCGUUGGAGUGGGGGGCGGAGGCGGAGGAGGGGCGCGCGAGGCGGCGGAGCGAGUCCUCGCCGAUGACCUUGGCGCCGCGGUCGGUGUCGCGGGAGAGGUCGAUGCGGUCGGGCCCGUGGAUCUUGUAGUAGGAGAGCACGCCGUCGCUGAGCGCGAACCAGCGGGGCCGCCACCCGCGGCCGUAGUUGACCCACUUGUAGAGGACCCCGGAGAUGCCGCCGCCAACGAUCUCGUUCAGCCUCACCCCGUCAGGCGGCGAGGAGGGGCCGCCCCCAACGCCGACGCCCGCCACGCGCGCCCGCGCUGCCGAGCUGCUGCUGCUGCUGCAGCAGCGGGCGGGCUGGAGCGGGGGCGGCGGCGGCGGCGGCAUCGCGGGAGGGAGGCCCGCCACCGCGGGGGGCGCGGACGACGCCGCCGCCGCAGCCGCGGCGGGGGAGACGGGCACGGGGGGCACGCAGCAGAAUGGGUGCAUGCGGCGGGCGGCGGGGCCGGAUCGGGCGCGGCCUGCCGCGCUGGCCGGCGGGGAGGGAGGCCGAGGCGUGCGCGUGCUAGGUUUAAUUAAUCCCCGUGGUUUAUAAAAUUCCUGCGCCGCGCCGCGCAGUUUAUUGGGGGUGGGAGGGCGGAGGUGGGUGAAGAGGUUUAAAUGCCGGAGGAGGAGGAGGGGGAGGAGUGGGGUAAUAAACUGCUGGCCGCCUGCUCGGCGGUUGGGUAGGGUGGGUGGGUACCGUACUUGGGCGCUUCUCUUCCUUCUUCCUUUCUCCUUUUUCGCUUGUCACGACUCGCCGGGAAAGGGGACGACGGGCGGGCGGGGCGAGGGAGCCAUGGAGGACUCGACUGGUGACACGUGUCAGGUGUUUUUUUUUCCUUUUGGCUUUUGAUGAGUCCGUUGAUUUAUCCAAAACCAAAUGUGUUCUGCUUCAUUUUUUUGGUUUAUAUGCAACUCAUUAGAGGAUGGAGAAGUCCGGAAACAGUGGUUAGGAAUGACAUCGACGGAUGGCAACCCAUUGGCUAGCGGUGAGACGAUAAUGAGGUUCUAUUCAGGUGCUGAUGCAGGGUUUAACUUUCUGCUUUUUACCGCGACUAAUUGUAGACUCCAAACGCUGCUUUGGAAUUCAUAUCAUGCAUGUGGAUUGAUUUCAUCCCUGAUUUUCUACCGAUAGAUUGUGAAGGAGCCACGUUGAUCUCUACAAGAGCUGUUUUGCCCCUGAUGUGUCAUCUGAGCGUUAAUUCCGUUAUCGCUACCGGUUACACGGGCUAUUGUUCUUGAGCAGUUGAGCAAUCGAGGAUCCUAUACACAGCCGCCGAGUGAUCUAGUGGAACCUCUAUUGGUUGAAUAAAUUAUAAAUUUAAAUUUAACUAUUUCAUUUGUAUACUUUACGUUUGAAUUGAUUAUAUUUGAAUUAUUAUUGCAUUGAAAUAUUGAUCUUUGAAUGGUUGUUGCAUUGGAAUUUUUACACUUGGGGUACUGCUGAAGUUUGGCUGUUUUUUAAUAAUUGAGAAAAAACUACUUACAAAAAAGUAUAUACUCUCUUUGUUUCUAAAUAUUUGUUUUUUUAGAGAUUUCAAAUGGACUAUAACAUACGGAUGUAUAUAGACAUAUUUUAGAGUGUAUAUUCACUCAUUUUGUUUCGUAUAUAGUCACUUGUUAAAAUCUAUAAAAAAACAAAUAUUUAGAAACGAAGGGAGUAUAUUCCGGACCUAAAUGCUGGGAACAUGUCAAUUCGAACAGAGAGUGUUGAAAAAUGUUGUUUCUAGGGGUAUCUUACCGUUUGGUGGUGUGCCUCUGUAAAGAGCACUAGAAAUGUUUUCCAAGAAUUUUCUAGAUUGACUAAGUCAAACAUACGUCUUGUAUUUGACAGGCAUGCCAUAACGCUGAAAGAAUAGCGUCAGAGAACCUAAAAUAAAUUCAAAAAGCAUGCGAUCACUCGUGCCAAGCCUAAGACUUGACCCGAUUGGACUGGUCCCAUCACAAGAACUUAACCAUUUAAACUAUGCUUAAUUCGCAAUAUUGUCCGAGUUUCGUUUUGAUCCCUUGUGUGUUGAGAACGAGGAUACAACCUCCAGGCAAGUUUGUAGGGACGAGAAACUAAACAUGUCUGAUACUAGUUUGAAGUUCAUGGAUCAUAACCAAACACACGACAAUAUUUUUAGAACUUUGUCGAUCCGAACAUAACAUCUUUAUCAAAGAUGAAGAAUUAGCAAACCCAUCUUUAUUUUUCAAAAUUUUAAACGAACACUACCUCCGUUCUAGUUUAUUGGUCUUCUUAGUAUUUUGUGCCAAAUUUUGACCGUGGAUUUAAUUAAAAAAUAUUAAUGCAUGUCACAAAAAAUAGUAUCAUUGAAAACCAUGUUCAAGUAGGAAUUCAAUGCUAUAUUCUUUCAUGAUAUACAUUAGGCUAGUCAUAGUGGGAGUAACUUAGCUAGUAACAUAACGCAUUUCGAAAAAAUUCUGCUUAUGUGACAAGUAAUUAAUGAGAGAUGACAACAUAAUAUGUUAUUGUAACAUAACGCUUUCUAAGACAAGAUAAGUCUACGAGUUAAUAAAUGAAGCCAUCUAUGAUACUACGUACUAGUAUGUUACUUUGCAUUAUGAAGGUAAUAAAAUGCAUGACACUAGUCUAAGGGGGUGUUUGUUUCCAGGGACUUUUUUAUGUAGGGACUAGAAAAAGACCCUCUUAGAGACUUUUUUACCAAAUGGGAGGGACUUUUGAGGGAUUAAACUAGUCAUUUGGGACUAAAUGAAAAAGACUCUCAAGGAGAGUCUUUUUUGAGACUUUUACAACAAUGCCCCUUCAUGCACCCAUUGGCCGCCACCCCAUGGUGUUGUUUGAUUGUUAUUAUUUUAUAUACUAGGGACAACAUGGUCAUUUAGUAACCUCUAGGAAGGGACUAGGGAUUUUUUAGUCUCUGAAAACAAACAGAGACAGACUUUUUAGAGACUAGGAACUUUUUAGUUGAGACUAGAAAAAGUCCUAGAACUUAUGAAUCAAACAGGGUCUAAGUUACUCCCUACUAUGACUAGCCUUAGCAUUUUGUUAGUUAAAUCUAUGGUUAAGUUUUAGCACAAGAAACGAAAAGGACCAAUAAAACGGGAUGUAGUAGUAGUAUACUUUUCUUACCAACUGAAUCGGUCACCAUUUUGAUUAUGAACAUUUAGUUUUCAACCUCCUUAUUUUUUUCCACAAACCAAAGUAAUUGGAAAAAUAAUAAUCGGAUGAGCACAAUUUUGCAAUGGUUAGAUCGAAAUACUCCUAGUAGUAGGAAAGGACCAGCACGUGGCGCCUAACUUGACUCCCUACACGAGUGAAAACGACUCAUGGCCGGAACAAAAUGGUCCUUUUUUUGCAAUAAACUCCCCUCCACACGGCCAUUUUGUUCGCCUUCCCGCUUUUUUAGGCUGGUCGUAAUGGUAGUAUCAUAGCUAGUAUCAUGCAUGCUAACUAGGCAAUUUUGAUGAGGUGUCAUAAUAUUAAAUGAAGAAAGAGAUGAUGUAAUAUCAUAUUAUGAUACCGUAUCAUAUUAAAUGUUAUACUAUUUUGUAUCAUGCAUGACAAUAAAUAGAGUACAACAUAAUACUAAUAUAUGAUACUAUGCAUUAAGGAGGUAGUAUCAUACACUAGUAUCAUAUGCAUGAUACUAGUAUAUGAUACUCCCCGUUACAACCAGCCUUACGAAGAGGUAUAGCACUAGCAACAAACCAAACUAGCAUCAAUAAUUGGCCACCGGCUGCCGGGGCCGGCGAUACUACAUGCAAUGCAGCGCACAAACUUUGACCGACGCUUUGUUGGAACGCCCACAACACCGGAAGAUAAUCAUGGAUUCCUCCGCCGAGCUGGGAACCUCUCGAGCCCAAGCCACGCGCGCGCGGGGCAAAGGCGAAGCCGGCGCCGCGAUCCCCUUCCGCACCUGGCGGGCGCGUGCACCCCGUGCUGCCGCAAAGCCGUCUCCGUCCCCCGCCACGGACCACCCGUCGGUCUCGCGCGCCAAAGCCGAAUGUGCCAGACGGCGAAGGUUCCCACCCCACCAUCGUGCCGCUUUUGCUGCUGCCAAUCGGGCGCCCCCCGCACCCACCGCUGCCCCUGUCACCAGAUGUUAGGCCAACUUCACUGCGCCACCCCAUCUUGUCUGACCCUGUCCGUUUGAAAUAAAACGAAUAAACGAGGCGGCACAGCGCGCGAUGGCCCGGAUCCAUCUGGUCCGUUUUGUGUCCGGGCCGACCCAUUUCAAGCGCAUCUUUGCAUCGGGUUUGGGUCGCCGCGGACACCGAACGGACGUGUCGCUCGUCCGCGUCUGGUCGCGUGGCGGGGCGGCCAUCUACCUCCCGUCCGCCAACAUCAAUGCGCACGGGUGGCUGACCCCAUCUGUCAUCGCCCCAGUGGAAGAUCGCCGUCCUUCUUAAAUGGGGAACCCGUGGAUCGGUCGUGGUCACCGGAGCGGGAGGCGUCGCCACGGGAGGAGGUCGUGCAGGCACCUCCUGCCGUCCAGCCCGCCCCCGUCUACCACGCGCCGCCGGCCCACCUCUGGACGCCGCCGGCCUACGUGGACCUCGUCAGCGACGACGACGACGCCGGCGGGUACUGAAGACGGCGACGGCGACGGCAUCGACGGGCACGGGCAGGAGCGCGCUGGCGGCGGCCGUUUUUUAUUUUCUUUUUUAUGUUUAAUUAUGUCAAGUUGGACGUGAAACUGAGCCGUUUUGUGGCCGUGGCGACCCUAACUAAGUUUUAUGUUUAUUAAACUGCGCUUAUUUAAUUUUUUUAGUCAUUUUGUUUACGUUUUCCUAUUUUUUUUAAAUCAUGUCCAACGCGAAUGUGAUUUGGGAUGCGGCCGCGCGGUGGGCGCACGCAUGACCCAACGGACAAGACCAGACACGGGCGAACCCAUCGCCACCCCAAAGGUACAAAAUCCGGCCAAACCGGACGCCUGUUUGGGAUCGCGCGGUGAAGAUGACCUUACCAGUAGCAAUUUCCUGACAAAACAUAAAGAGAAAAAACAAGGUCGAUGCCGCGGAAAACUUUUCAGAUGGAGCGCUUCUGCGCGAGUUCGGUGUAUUUAUUACUAACCGCGUGCCGCUGAUUACCCUUCGUUCUUUUUCAUGGUGCGUCUUUUUUUUCAUACUUUUUAUUAUUAUAGUUGAUUGACUGCACCUCCAGGUAGGCCGUGCAAUCACAAACCAAAGCGAUACGACUAGCAACACAGACUCUUGAGCAAAGCUUUUCCCCAAACCAAGUCCCGGAUUCGAUUGUUACAGCGGAAGUCACGAGGUUAACAAGGUGUGCAGACAAACAAAAGCUGCAUCUUAUGUCAAGUCUUGUUUAUAUUCCUCCGAACUAAAAAUGACGAAACGUGAGGUUUCGAAAUAUUCAUAUUUGCGCAUGGUCCCGCGUGCGUAGACAAGCACUUGCUUUGAUUAGUUGCCUGCGUCGGUCUUCUUUGGCUUGCGAGAAGGAACUGGACCUUGCUAAGCAAAGGGAAAGGCGGGAAAAGGAACCACCAGAAAAGCACGCGAUCUACAUAUAUAUAGAAAUAGAAUGAACUGAUGCUGGUUUCUUUUAGCCAGCAUUUGUUCUCAACGCGUUCCGCGUUCAAUCAAAUUAACAAUUUCGAAAUUUUUAUGAGCAUCAGUACAGACACAAACGCUCAUAUACACGCGCAUGCACUUAUCCUAUCUCUAUGAGCACCUUCGAGAGACUGAGCCGGCAUCUCAUCUUGAGAUUUAACGUCUCUUCCCACUGAAAGCGCAUCGCCGAAAAUCCUGAAAUAAAUUCAGGAAUAAUGCGAGCACCAGGAUUUGAACCCUGGUGGGUUGGGGAUACCACUGUCCACCUAACCAUUUCAACCACAGGUUGGUUCGCUAACAGUUUUGAAUUUAGUAGUAAUUGGGCCCAAGAAACGGAAUGAUCUUAAAUCUGUGGGGAGAAUGACUAGCAGAACUCGACGAAAAUAGCGGCCUUGGUCACAGUAGACAGAGUCUGUUCUGCGGGGCCCUCCUAGCAGUCAGGCUGUAAAUUUCCAUGAAGUUGGAAGCAGCACAGUAUAGUACAUGUGGGGAGUCGAUCGAUUAGGUAUGGCUGGACCAGCUAGCUAGCUAAUACGCACGCACAUUGCAGCGGGUGGAGCCCGGAACGCCGGAUCGGGGGAGAUGCUCUCCGCAAGGCAUCUCCUUCUUUCGCGUGAUGUUAUUUUUGACCGUCCUGGAAUGGAACUGGGUUCCCUCGCUCGCCAUGAAAGUGACUUGCGACUUGCGAGGCACGUACGUCUAGAAGAGAAGAGAGAUGACGGGCUGGGGAGCAACCAAAAACUUGUCUAGAGUACUUCAAUUUUAUGCGCAGAGGUGCAGUGUAACGUCAAACGUCAUAUCGUACUAAUAGUAGUGAACAACUGAACAUCAACACACCCCGGGCAAAAGUUAACUCGGUCGAAGGUUCCUCUAGGAAUAAUUUACUAGUACUGAGUACGUACCAAGGUGUAGGGGUUUGGUCGGUGAACAGUGAGCAUCGGCUUUCCCUCGAUGAUCAUCAGCGGCGACCGGAAGCAUGUGCCGGACUGGAGCAGAUGGCGCUCGUCGUCGGACAUUUGUUUACUCGAUCGAUCGAUCGAUCACAGGGCACCCAGCGGUCAGAUCGGCAGAUGCUCUCUUGCUUUAUAAUUUUGAAAAAUUCACCCGAUCGAGUCGAGCGGGCCACUCACGGCGUGGCGUGCUGUUGCCCGCGCACGGCCGCACAGCGAAAAGGGCGCGGUCACCGCGGGCAGGGCGCGCGCUUUUGGCGCGACCGGGGCCGGCCUGCCGUCGCGCUCCAUGCCCACAGCCGGGAGCGCGGGAAUGUCCGGCCCCCCUGUACCCCGUGACAGCUCCCCGUCACAUAAUCACAUGCGCGCGCCCGUCCCUGCCGCCGGCCGAUCUCCCCUGACCCUGGGGCAGGCGGUAGGUACAAUCCCCGAGUACUGGUAGAGGUAGGCCCGUCGCCCUAUCUAUCAAUCUAUCUACAUUGCGCGCACUGUACGUACGUCCAAACUAGAGUAGCGUGAUGGUGGCGACGAGAUGCAUGGGAGCGGGUGGAGGUCGCUGGUGACGAUUAAAGAAAUCGAGAUGGGUCGCGACCGGCCGCUGGGCCUUGUUGUUGUCUCGUGCUGGUUCGGUCCGUCCCCAGCUCAGCUCUGUUGGGCAGACAGCGCGCGCGAUCGGCACGAUCCAUUGCUUGAGCUUGACCGCUGGCUGGCUGGUCGUGCGUACGUACUGCGUAGGGUCUGCCCUCAUCGCUCUGAUCUGAUGCGAUGUGCGGCACAUAUACUCUAUCGCCUACAGUACUGUAGUGCAUCUGCACGCAUGAGUGAUGCAGUGAGUGAGCGUGUCAGUUCUCCCUGCAUGCGUAUAUAGGAUAGGGCCCGGUUUGCUACUUGCACUGUGCGGUUCGACAACGGCCUUUUUCACUACUUUGACCCUUUUAAAAAAGAGUGAAUUCCGGUUUUUAUCCCCUAUUUUGACUUUUUUGACACUAAUUACCCCAUUUAGCGGGAUUUCAUCCGUUUUACCCCAUUUAGCACAAGUGUUACCACAAUUUACCCUCUUUUAAAUUUUGCGUGCGUUCUGACCUACGGGUCACAAUUUGUCAGGUCUAACUGGCAUGCCACGUCAACGGGUUUUUUCUGUCUAUUUUUCUCCCUACUAAACUCAUUUCCGGUUUGAAGUAUUCUGAUGGGACGAUUGUACUUGAUCAGCAUGUCAUAUUACCAUUGAAUAAAUUAUAGAAGAAAUUGUUACCAAUAUAAUCUAAAAUCAUGUAUGUUUUUCUUCAGUUAUCAUAUAUGGCCUUAAGUAUGGAUGGUUCUGUAGAUUAGAUUAAAGUGGUGUAAAUAUACUACUUUACUAACUCUGAUGCACCUACAUAUCUAAAUAUCUAGGUAGCAAAUAUGUUGACUGAAGAGUCUGUGUUGUUACUUGCUAGCUGUAAAGGAAGUUUGGAUCUUUGUAUCUUAUGAUGCAUGCUGAAACGUGUUCGUUCACCGUAUUAGAGUAUAUUAUGAUUGCAGCCACUAAUUCAUUUUUCUUUUUCUUGCACAAAGCGGAUGGCAACGGAGAUGUAGAGUGUUAGGCAUAUUUUACAUGUCCGUAGAUAAAAGAAUCCAGGGCCAGAGAUGAUUGAGAGGUAUUUCAUUAUUUAUUUUGAUAUAUAAAGGAGAAGAUGAAGGAAUUGGGUUCCAACCCUUGGGACAACGCUAAUUAUCAGAAGAAGAGGGCCAACGGGAACUCCAUGAUUGAGUUAACAGAUGAUGCAGGCAUAGUGAACAUGCUAGAGGAACUUGAUGCUUAUAAGAAAAUCAGUUUGAAUGUUAAUUGGGGGAGAGCAACAUAAACGAGAAGCCAUGGCAGGCGAGCGUGGCGCGCGACCGACUUGGACGUUGGACGUGCCGCGAGCGACCUCCAUUGGCUGAGCCGGUCAGAAGAAGCGGCGCUGCCCAGUUCAGCAGUGAGAAAAAUAGCCAGGAAAAACCACUGACGUGGCAUGCCAGCUGGACCCGACAAUUGUGACCCACCAGUCAGAAUGCUCAAAAAAAUUAAACGGGGUAAACUGUGGCAACAUUUUUGCUAAAUGGGGUAAAAUGGAUGAAAUCUUGCUAAAUGGGGUAAUUAGUGUCAAAAAUGUCAAAAU
rnacentral:lncRNA from 1 species